UGAGAAAGCAGGUUGUGGCGGAGGCGCCCCGCUCUUCCCAGCUCCUCUCCGGGGUCCUGCUGGCUGGUGGGGAGAAGCGCCCACCCGGGAGGCCUUUGCUGGCUCUCGGCAGAAGUUUGGAGUUGGAGUCACAGGGGCGAUUAACUCAUCGCUCUGCUCUUGGAAGGUUGCUCCUGUGCCCAGGACUUGAGGAUUCUGCAUCUGCUGAAUACUCCGGGCUGAGUUGAAGAGGCCUCUGGACCUCAGAACAGAUCUCCAUGGAGUGCUAAUAAGUCCUCUGCAAAAU
rnacentral:lncRNA from 1 species